GAUGAAGAACGUAGCGAAAUGCGAUAAGUAAUGUGAAUUGCAGAUUUCCAGUGAAUCAUCGAAUCUUUGAACGCACCUUGCGCCCCUUGGUAUUCCGAAGGGCAUGCCUGUUUGAGUAUCAUGAACACCUCAACUCUUCACGGCUUGCCGUGAUGAGUUUGGACUUUGGGGGUCUUGCUGGCCUACGAGCCAGCUCCUCUCAAAUGUAUUAGCUUGCCGGUGUUUGGUGGCAUCACAGGUGUGAUAACUAUCUACGUUUGUGGUUUUCCACUAGGUAACCUUCAGCAAUGGAGGUUCACCGGAGCUCACAAAUGUCUCUCCUUGCCAAGGACAGAUUUUGACCAUUUGAUCUCAAAUCAGGUAGGACUACCCGCUGAAUUUAAGCAUAUCAAUAAGCGGAGGA
rnacentral:misc_RNA from 1 species